GGCAGUGUGGCAUAGUGGUUAGAGUGCCAGGCUAGGAGCUGGGAGGCCAGGGUUCGAAUCCCCACUCAGCUA
rnacentral:tRNA from 1 species